GAUAAGAACGCAGCGAAAUGCGAUAAGUAAUGUGAAUUGCAGAAUUCAGUGAAUCAUCGAAUCUUUGAACGCACAUUGCGCCCGCCAGUAUUCUGGCGGGCAUGCCUGUUCGAGCGUCAUUACAACCCUCAGGCCCCCGGGCCUGGCGUUGGGGAUCGGCAGAAGCCCCCUGUGGGCACACGCCGUCCCUCAAAUACAGUGGCGGUCCCGCCGCAGCUUCCAUUGCGUAGUAGCUAACACCUCGCAACUGGAGAGCGGCGCGGCCAUGCCGUAAAACACCCAACUUCUGAAUGUUGACCUCGAAUCAGGUAGGAAUACCCGCUGAACUUAAGCAUAUCAAUAAGCGGAGGA
rnacentral:misc_RNA from 1 species